UUAAGUGAAUAAGGGCGCACGGUGGAUGCCUUGGCACUAGGAGCCGAUGAAGGACGGGACUAACACCGAUAUGCUUUGGGGAGCUGUAAGUAAGCUAUGAUCCAGAGAUUUCCGAAUGGGGGAACCCAAUAUCUUUUAUAGGAUAUUACUUUUCAGUGAAUACAUAGCUGAUUAGAGGUAGACGCAGAGAACUGAAACAUCUUAGUACCUGCAGGAAGAGAAAGAAAAUUCGAUUCCCUGAGUAGCGGCGAGCGAAACGGGAAGAGCCCAAACCAACAAGCUUGCUUGUUGGGGUUGUAGGACUCCAAUAUGGUAGUCUGUUAGUAUAGUUGAAGGAUUUGGAAAAUUCCGCUAAAGAGGGUGAAAGCCCCGUAGACGAAAUGCUGACAACACCUAGGAGGAUCCUGAGUACGGCGGAACACGAGAAAUUCCGUCGGAAUCCGCGGGGACCAUCCCGCAAGGCUAAAUACUCCCUAGUGACCGAUAGUGAACCAGUACCGUGAGGGAAAGGUGAAAAGCACCCCGGAAGGGGAGUGAAAUAGAUCCUGAAACCGUGUGCCUACAACAAGUCAAAGCUCGUUAAUGAGUGAUGGCGUGCCUUUUGUAGAAUGAACCGGCGAGUUACGAUUGCAUGCGAGGUUAAGUCGAAGAGACGGAGCCGCAGCGAAAGCGAGUCUGAAUAGGGCGAAUGAGUAUGUAGUCGUAGACCCGAAACCAUGUGAUCUACCCAUGUCCAGGUUGAAGGUGCGGUAAAACGCACUGGAGGACCGAACCCACGUACGUUGAAAAGUGCGGGGAUGAGGUGUGGGUAGCGGAGAAAUUCCAAACGAACUUGGAGAUAGCUGGUUCUCUCCGAAAUAGCUUUAGGGCUAGCCUCGGAAUUGAGAAUGAUGGAGGUAGAGCACUGUUUGGACUAGGGGCCCAUCUCGGGUUACCGAAUUCAGAUAAACUCCGAAUGCCAUUCAUUUAUAUCCGGGAGUCAGACUGCGAGUGAUAAGAUCCGUAGUCGAAAGGGAAACAGCCCAGACCACCAGCUAAGGUCCCAAAAUAUAUGUUAAGUGGAAAAGGAUGUGGGGUUGCACAGACAACUAGGAUGUUGGCUUAGAAGCAGCCACCAUUUAAAGAGUGCGUAAUAGCUCACUAGUCGAGUGACCCUGCGCCGAAAAUGUACCGGGGCUAAACAUAUUACCGAAGCUGUGGACUACACCAUUAGGUGUAGUGGUAGGAGAGCGUUCUAAGGGCGUUGAAGGUCGAUCGUGAGGACGGCUGGAGCGCUUAGAAGUGAGAAUGCCGGUAUGAGUAGCGAAAGACAGGUGAGAAUCCUGUCCACCGUAUGACUAAGGUUUCCUGGGGAAGGCUCGUCCGCCCAGGGUUAGUCGGGACCUAAGCCGAGGCCGAUAGGCGUAGGCGAUGGACAACAGGUUGAUAUUCCUGUACCAGUUGUUUUUGUUUGAGCAAUGGAGGGACGCAGUAGGCUAAGGAAUGCAUGCGAUUGGAAGUGCAUGUCCAAGCAAUGAGUCUUGAGUAGAGUUAAAUGCUUUACUCUCUAAGGACAAGUUGUGACGGGGAGCGAAAUAAUAGUAGCGAAGUUCCUGAUGUCACACUGCCAAGAAAAGCUUCUAGUGAGAAAACAACUGCCCGUACCGUAAACCGACACAGGUAGUCGAGGAGAGUAUCCUAAGGUGAGCGAGCGAACUCUCGUUAAGGAACUCGGCAAAAUGACCCCGUAACUUCGGGAGAAGGGGUGCUGACUUCGGUCAGCCGCAGUGAAUAGGCCCAAGCGACUGUUUAUCAAAAACACAGGUCUCUGCAAAAUCGUAAGAUGAAGUAUAGGGGCUGACGCCUGCCCGGUGCUGGAAGGUUAAGAGGAUGGGUUAGCUUCGGCGAAGCUCAGAAUUGAAGCCCCAGUAAACGGCGGCCGUAACUAUAACGGUCCUAAGGUAGCGAAAUUCCUUGUCGGGUAAGUUCCGACCCGCACGAAAGG
rnacentral:rRNA from 1 species